GGUCUACUCCCUCCGUUCGGAAUUACUUGUCGUAGAAAUGGAUGUAUCUAGACGUAUUUUAGUUCUAGAUACAUCCAUUUCCGAGACAAGUAAUUCCGAACGGAGGGAGUAGGUU
rnacentral:pre_miRNA from 1 species